rnacentral:rRNA from 1 species
GACGAACGCUGGCGGCGUGCUUAACACAUGCAAGUCGAACGGUAAGGCCCCAGCUUGCUGGUGUCUACGAGUGGCUAACGGGUGAGUAACACGUGGGUGACCUGCCCCGCACUUCGGGCUAAUCCUCGGAAACUGGGUCUACUACCGGAUAGGACCGCACCGUGAGGGUGUGGUGGAAAGUUUUUCGGUGUGGGAUGGGCCCUCGGCCUAUUAGCUUGUUGGUGGUGUAAUGGCCUACCAAGUCGGCGACGGGUAGCCGGCCUGAGAGGGUGGACGGCGACAAGGGGACUGAGACACGGACCAGACGCCUACGGGAGGCAGCAGUGGGGAAUAUGACACAAUGGGCGGAAGCCUGAUGCAGAGACGCCGCGGGGGGGAUGACGGCCUUCGGGUUGUAAACAGCUUUCACCAUCGACGAAGGGUUUCUGACGGUAGAUGGAGAAGAAGCACCGGCUAACUACGUG